GACAGAGGAUGCAAGCGUUAUCCGGAAUGAUUGGGCGUAAAGCGUCUGUAGGUGGCUUUUUAAGUCUGCCGUCAAAUCCCAGGGCUCAACCCUGGACAGGCGGUGGAAACUACCAAGCUAGAGUACGGUAGGGGCGGAGGGAAUUCUCGGUGGAGCGGUGAAAUGCAUAGAUAUCGGGAGGAACACCUGUGGCGAAAGCGG
rnacentral:rRNA from 1 species